CCAAACACCUGGGCGAGUGGGGCAAAGGCCCAGGGCAGCAAGCUGGGAAGGGGCAUCAUUUUAGGCCUGGUACUUUUAGCAUGUAUAAAAUUUAGCCCAAACUUAAAUGUGGCCCAAAGCUCUAGAAUUCCUUAAUCAGUUCAACCACUUAGGGUGGGCGCUAGAAUUGAGAGACGGAUGCACGCCAGCCACUCUUGCACAAUAAACGAGAAUCACUUCGAUUCUUGAGCAUCGAUUGAUUUCACUACAGAUGCAUCACAUAUAGUGGUUUGGUGGAGUAGAGAAGAUGUUAAGAUUCAAGACGUCAAGACUCAAGACGAGACUCAUGGCUGCUUUUAAUAUCUAGGCUCCAGCAUUUAAGAUAAGAAAAAAAAAAUAGAAAAAUCAAUAUCCCAUCCUCUUUUUCCUUUGAUUUAUUUUUAUAUGUUAUCUAAUUUGAUUUCCUACGUGCAGUCUUGCUAAUUAAUUGAUUUCUGGAGACUUGAUUGUCGGAGAGAUUCUUUGGAGACUUGAGAAGCAGGGAUGGAAUUUUUUGUAAGAUUGUGGACCGGAGCAAUGAUGAAACCAAAGAAAACAAAAGAGAAUCACGAAAAAGGAAUAACAUUGAGUGUUGUUGAUGCUAUUUGGAAAUGAGAAAGGGCAUCUAGUUUUUCAAGGUCAAUUAAAAUGCAACAUGGCACAUGUGAUUAAUUUUAUGUUUUUAAACGAAGUAUAUUUGUGUUAAGGGACUCAAGGUUUAUUUAUUUAUUUUGAAUAGUAGUUUAAUGUUAACAGUCAAAAGAAUAUUACAUACUCACAUUCGAUUUUGAUAAGUGUUAUAAGCAAAAGUAGUUGUUUCGAGUUUGUUA